rnacentral:tRNA from 1 species
UGGCUAAGUUGGUAAAGAGUCUGCCUGCAAUGCAGGGAACCAGGGUUCAAUCCCUG